UUUCUCUCAGCCUUGGCUGGAUUCGACUCAGCCGGUGCGCACAAUGUGCUUCGUCCUGUCAGACGCGUGGUUUGUGGACAAAAUAAAUAAAUCUAAAUAAAAGUCUGGAUAUCCUUUUUUUUUUUUGAAAUUAUUAUUAUUUUAUGAGGCACGUGGGAUGUAAGGCGCGUGGAUGCGACGCACCCCCACUGGAGCUGGAUAUCGACCUCGUUUUGGAUUCCUUUUCGGAGCUCGCUGCUUGCAAUCGGGAAGACACGUACGGAUGAUGGCUUUAUGAUGCGGAAGGUGGCGAUGGGCAAGUGACGUGCCGAGCUCGUGCCAAG